UAAUAAUACAGCUCCUGUCCCUGGAGUGGGCGGAUGUGUUCUCAAGACCAAGAACACACACCACAUGGUCUGAAAUGGGGAGAGAGAGGUUGGAGGGGGGACACUUGCCACUUUGAGAAACAGGAUGGAGUGAUGAAGAGAUAUCUCAAGUUCAAGUUCUAGAGGAUGCCACGUUUAGAUGCUUGCAACCAGAGGCUUAGGUCAAUCUUCACUCUCCCACUGCCCAGCCAGGAGCAAUCAGCAAUCCACUUUCUGUCACUACAGUUUUUUGGCUGCGAGGCACGUGGGAUCUUAGCUCUCCGACCGGGGAUCACACCCUCACCCCUUGCACUGGAAGGCGAAGUCUUAACCACUGGACCACCAGGCAGUCUCGAUAAGAUGACUCAUGCCCCCACCUGGAGACAGAGGUGAGUGCCGUCCGUGACACAGAGAUGAAACCCAUAAAUGCUGCUCUCCUUCCUUAGGAGCUGGACCUGCCGUUGGGGGAGGUCCGAAUCCUGCCCCUCCGGCCCUCCCUCUCCAACCCACUGUCUCUCUCAUUCACAAACGUUAAUGGAGAAACUUUGAUCUGUGGGACGCUGACCAGGCAGGAGGAACAGGUCCCAGAGGGCUCAUGCCUGGUCCCCAUAGGACGACCACACCUUGUGUGAUCAGUGGAGAACAGAGGCGUUUGCACACGGCCCAUGGCACAAAUGAGGACUUCAGGAAAGGCUUCAUCAAGGUGGUCGCAACUGUAGGACACAUCAGCAGACAGAAGGACGGACAUCCACGAGCCUGGGCAAGGGCCCGGACGUGUGGAAGGAUUGGAGACAUUCAGGAACCGCCAGGGUUUGCAGGCGCACGGGGCCCCCGGAGUGGAGCGGUGAGGAGGCUGGAGACCGGGCCAGGCCUCCUUGAAAGGACGGGGCACUUCCUUAUAUGUGGAACCUAAAAUAUGACACAAACGAACCUCUCUGUGAAGCGGAAACAGACUCACAGACACAGAGAACAGACUGGUGGUUGCCAAGGAGGAGGGGGAUGCGGGAGGGAUGGAGUGGGAGUUUGGGGUGAGCAGAUGCAAGCUAUUAGAUACAGGCCGGAUAAACAACAAGCUCCUACUGUAGACCACAGGGGACUACAUUCAAUCUCCUGGGAUGAACCAUAACGGAAAAGAAUGCAUAAAAAAAGAAUGUAUACAUAAAUUUUAAAAAAACAGUUACAGAUUGACUUGUUAAAAGGAAGUACACAUAACUGAAACAUUUUUUUAGAAUCAAACUUAGGUGCAAUUUAAAAAUAAAUAUAGCUGUUGAAUUUUUUAAAAAUAAAAAUUAUAUUUAACCAAAAAAAAAAAAAAAAAGAAAAGAAAGAAAGGACUUGAUGCCUCCAUCCAGUGGUCUGGGUUUUCAAAAGUGAGACUCAAGGGGCUUCCCUGGUGGCGCAGUGGUUAAGAAUCUGCCUGCCAAUGCAGGGGACAUGGGUUCGAGCCCUGGUCCGGGAAGAUCCCACAUGCCGUGGAGCAACUAAGCCCGUGCGCCACAACUACUGAACCUGUGCUCUAGAGCCCGCGAGCCACAACUACUGAGCCCGCGCGCCUAGAGCCCGUGCUCCGUGACAAGGGAAGCCACUGCAAUGAGAAGCCCACGCACUGCAGCGAAGAGUAGACCCCGCUCACCGCAACUAGAGAAAGGCCGUGUGCAGCAACAAAGACCCAGCGCAGCUAAAAGAAAAAAAAAAAUGAAACUCAAAAGCCAUCCAUGAGCAGUAAAAUGAAUGUCGAAGGUUGCCACCAGCAUUAAAAAAAGAGGGUAGGAAACACGUGUGCGUUGCACAUCAUGGUGCUAAGUGUAGGAGGUUUUGUUUGAGUUUUACCCGUGUGGGUGCUCGCAGGUGUAGGCUGGGCUUCCCUGGACAAUGCAUUUCCCCCGGGGGUGGUCACCGUCGGUGGGAUGCUGUUGGGGGUCCCAGCCCAUGGGGGAGGGUCUGGGGAAUGUUCUCGCAGCUUCUCGGGCCACCCCGCGGCUGUUCUGGCUGGUGCAGGAGAGUGGGAAGGGCCCCCUACCCACACCUGUGGGCUGCUGGCGUUUCCUGAGGCAGUUGGACUUUGAAGGCUUAGCUGGGGCCUGCUGGGCAGUGGCUCGCUCUGAGUGCAAAGCAGUUUUGAGGGUGGGGUGUGUGGAAUAGCUGCUUAGUUAAGACGGGGAGAGGUUGACAGGAGGGACCUUUCGGUGGUUUUCGAGCUCUGUCUCUCUCUCUCCCCACUUUCUAACUUGAGGGGGGAAGAAACCUCUUUCCUACUCUUUCUUUUUCCACCUCUUCUCUCUUUCACAGGCCUGGCAGGCGCCACUGGGCGUCUGUCCGUCCUCCCCGAGGCCCCUCCUCCUCCACCUGGAAAGGCCUGGAUUGCAGAUGCAGUUUAUGCACACGGUGUUGUUUGUCGGGGGGAUUCACCAUUCACCCUGUUAGAUGACCAUAGUCUUGACCCUCUCAAGUGUUUUGAAAAUAUAUCUGGUUUCCCAACAAAACAACAUGAAAAUAUCUCAUGGCAAGUUUGGAAAGUGGAAGUCACAGAGGUGUCAGAGCAAGUAGGCCCAAGUUCAAGUCCUGGCCCAGGGGUCUAUGACCCGCGGCCUUGGGAACGUUAACUUCUCGGAGCCCCUCAUGCCUCACCUGUGAAAGAGGUUGUUGGGAGGACCCUGGAGCUGAAGCAGGUAAAGGGCAGAGUGCAGUGCUCGCCGGGACAAUUCAGUGGCGCUCAGCCAGACGGGGCUGUGAGUGUAGACGUCACGGCUUGUGUCUCUCAGCACUCACAGAAGCCAGAGCCGAGAAGCACAUCAGCCAACAGGCGCCUUUAUUUUGCACGAGGGGAAACUGAGUCUGGAGACAGGAAACGAUUUGCCAGCGUCAUGUAGAUCAAAUAGAUUACACCUGCAUUAUGGCCUCUUUGUUGAGUUUAUACCUAGGCUCUCUAGAGGGUGGCUUUUAAAAUCAGAGGGGAGUGUCUGCCCCCGCCCUGAAUCCUCAGGAACACACUUGUAAACACACCAGUUGCAUGGGACCAGCAGAGCAUCGGGUAAUGAUGGUCUAUUUCGGAGCAGAGCCUGCCUGUUCACAAAACGCUUUCAUUUCUACACCUCGUGUCUCAUUCCAGUGAGCCAGCAGUAGGCAGGGCAGCCAGCAUCAGCACCGUACCUGUUUCCAGAAAGGGAAACGGAGGUUCAGAGGAUUAAGCGUCCAGGGCCAGUUCACAUAGCUAACAUGACUGCAACGUUCACAGACGUAAGUAUAUUCAGAGGGCCGUUAUUCAGCUUACCACACUAACCAGUCCUGGACACCCUGCCUUAGGGCCUCUCUGUAGAUGCUGAUAAGUGUCCUUUCAUGUCUAAGACAGUUCUGGCCAGGUAUUCUCAGUGCGGUGCUGGUGAAUAACAACUGGCUUUCUUCAUUAAAAACAAAACAAACCCGAUUUGUAGCGUUUGCCAAUUUCUGUGGUGUAAAUACUCCCACCAUGGCUGAUUCUAAGCCACAACAUGACUCAAGGAACAUGAAAUUGAGGAGAUGUGCAACCAGACUGGCCCAGCACACCACUGGACCUUUCUUUUUCAAGAAUACAUCCUGUUGGUGUUGUUCUGUUUGGCUUUAGUUUUGCAACAUGACACUUGCUUUGGAGCCAGGGCAAACAGUUGAGAUGCUGACUGAGGUUCAGCGGCCCUCCCUUCCCUGCCACCUCCUCUGCUGUCGAAGAUUUGACCGAUUUCCAACAACUUAACUGAAGCACAAGAGUUACCUCUCCCAGUGAUAUUUGGGGUUUUUGUUUGUUUGUUUAACUU